rnacentral:rRNA from 1 species
AGCGAACGCUGGCGGCAGGCUUAACACAUGCAAGUCGAGCGGGCAUCUUCGGAUGUCAGCGGCAGACGGGUGAGUAACACGUGGGAACGUACCCUUCGGUUCGGAACAACUCUGGGAAACUGGAGCUAAUACCGGAUACGCCCUUAUGGGGAAAGGUUUACUGCCGAAGGAUCGGCCCGCGUCUGAUUAGCUAGUUGGUGGGGUAACGGCCUACCAAGGCGACGAUCAGUAGCUGGUCUGAGAGGAUGAUCAGCCACACUGGGACUGAGACACGGCCCAGACUCCUACGGGAGGCAGCAGUGGGGAAUAUUGGACAAUGGGCGCAAGCCUGAUCCAGCCAUGCCGCGUGAGUGAUGAAGGCCUUAGGGUUGUAAAGCUCUUCUGUCCGGGACGAUAAUGACGGUACCGGAAGAAUAAGCCCCGGCUAACUUCGUG